UUUGAGACACUGUGCCAAGUGUCUCUCAACAGACAAUGCUGAAGGUUCGUGUCGAAGCCCUUUUCAGGCCUGCCGCCAGCUAGAACCACAAGAAAUCUAGCAAGCAUCCUAAGCUACAUCACAAGCCAUUUGAUCUGAGCCACUGAAAACGCUUCUGCUAAAAUGGUGCAACACUGAAUAGAUAGGAGGAAGAGCAACCUACGGUGUACGAGGGAUUGCAUGCUUACCUUUGGGAGGCAUACGUAUUUCCCCAUUUUGAUACUGAUACGUUCGCAAGGCGCUUCAAAGGUACCUUGCAGGCAUGUACCAAAGAGAACGCAGGUGAUGGUGACGGAGUGGCAGUUACAAGCACGGAUGAAGAGGCAAACGGCGUUUUAAUCGCUGCUUGUUGAAAAGCACAUGGAAGACGAAUGAUUCAAGAUUGAGUGCGAUCUCGCAAUGAGCAAAUGUCAGGGCAGACGUCACUUCAGUGGAUAUGAAAAGGAAGGCUGAAUAGCUAGUUCUUAUGUAAAUAAAGAUUCUUCAUUGUGAAUA